AUUGAACGCUGGCGGCAGGCCUAACACAUGCAAGUCGAGCGAGCGGCGGACGGGUGAGUAAUGUCUGGGAAACUGACUGAUGGAGGGGGAUAACUACUGGAAACAGUAGCUAAUACCGCAUACCAUCAGAUGUGCCCAGAUGGGAUUAGCUAGUAGGUGGGGUAAUGGCUCACCUAGGCGACGAUCCCUAUCUGGUCUGAGAGGAUGACCAGCCACAACUGAAAUGGGGCACGGGCCAAGACCCUAACGGAGGGAGCAAGGGGGGAGAUUGGAAAAAGGGGGGAAGGCUGGUGGAGGCAAGCCGGGGGGGAGAAGAAGGGUCUCGGGGCUGAAAGCUCGUUGAGAGGGGAGGCGGUACUUGACGAGGAAGCGCCGGCUAACUACGUGCCAGCAGCCGCGGUAAUAC
rnacentral:rRNA from 1 species